rnacentral:lncRNA from 1 species
CUCGUGGAUCCGGUCUGCAUUUCAGUCGAAGAGCUUACGCUUGGCGGGAAGCGCGCCAUGGAAAGCGAAUACGAAAAGGAGGACAGCUUGGCCAUCAUUCACAAGUCAUGGCUGAAAGAAGACCACCGCUCUACAUUUUGGCCAAUAGAAAGAAACCCUGGAAAACGGCGAAAACUAACGAUGCAAGGCGCUAAACCAACAGGG